UACGGAGGGGGCUAGCGUUGUUCGGAAUUACUGGGCGUAAAGCGCACGUAGGCGGCUUUGUAAGUCAGUGGUGAAAUCUCCGGGCUCAACCCGGAAACUGCCAUUGAUACUAUCUGUCUUGAAUAUCGUGGAGGUAAGCGGAAUAUGUCAUGUAGCGGUGAAAUGCUUAGAUAUGACAUAGAACACCCAUUGCGAAGGCAGCUUACUACACGAUCAUUGACGCUGAGGCACGAAAGCGUGGGGAGCAAACAGG
rnacentral:rRNA from 1 species